rnacentral:lncRNA from 1 species
AAAUACUAAGAAGAAAGGAAUUUCAGGAUCAUUUCAAGCCCAAAUUUCGUUCAUCAGCUAGCCCAUGACUCGACCAACCAAACCAGCCCAAAAUCCUCCACUUCAGCCCAACCAUAGAACACUCUAGAACUCCAUCAAAACUACGUCGUUUUGAUAAAUAUGCCAGGCUUAAUCUCAGCCGUUGGAACUUGUUACUUCACUCUCUUCUCCCUCUUCACGUGAUGUCAGUUGACCAAGGCACUAGAUUUUCUAUUUCUCUACUUCAUCUUCUCUUUACUUUACUUUAACAGAAGAGACUCACCAAAAAUGGUAAAAACUCACACUGUCAUCUAUGUUACCACUGAUCAAGAUAGAACGGCUCUUAUGGCCGUUUGAAUUUCAAAUCCCACCUAGAAAUUAAGCCCUAGAUUUUCAUAAUAAAUAAUAGUGUUUUAAGGCCAUUGAAGGGGGAGGGGGGGAGAAAAUAAAAGCUUGAACCCCCUCCUUUAACCUUAAGCUCGGAGCCGCCCCUUUACUCCCUAAAAAACAUAAAGUAUUUUUUUUAGCCACCCCUUUGGUAGUUAACACAUUUGCCUAUCGCCCAAAAGCUUGCUGUUUUUUACUCAUUUCGCUAUUCUCCGAACAAAUACUUCAGCUCUUUCCCUUUAAUCUCUUUAUCUCUGUUAACUCAAGCUAUAAUAGAGGUUUCACGUUUUAACUCUUUCGGAUCACUUCUAAUUCUGCUCGCAAGAGGAAUAUAGAUCUGAAGUCGACGACGCCUCAGUUCGCUGCUCCGAAGCAGGUCGGCUCAUUUCUUUUCUUUAUUAUUAUUAUUAUUAUUAUUAUUAUUAUUAUUAUUAUAUUUAGUUGUGUUUAGAAUGAAAAUCUGAAUUUGUUUUAUUUCCUCUUUUUCAAAAAGUAGUUUCAGUGUUAAAUCUGUGCUUUAGCUGUUCACCACAUCUGUUUAAUCCAAUUGUUACUAAGGGAAGAACCUGACUAGCAAAGUAUUAUCAUGGGAUAUUUUCUUAUAUAUUAAAAAAUUAUUUCUUUAAAGUUGCUUUCUUCUUUGUUAAAGAAAAGCAAGACUAGCUGCUAUCUUAUAGUAGUAGUAUAUUAGUAGAGAUCGUAUUUUUAUAUAUUAUGGCCAUCUAAUAUAUCGAUAUGAAUAUGCCUCUUGCUGCUUUAUACAUAAACACUUAUAUCAGUAUCGGUAUUGAGUCCAAAAUCUAGAAAUCAUUGUUUAGUUUUCCUUUGAAUGAUAUAGGACUCUUUCCUUCAGAUUUAGGAUACAUCUUUUGAAAUAAGAUCCAGUUAUAUGUAUACUUUUAUAUAUAGAUGUAAUAUUGACCAUCUAAUAUUACAUUAUGGCCAUUCGGUAGCAUGUUCAUUGGGGCUUAUUUGCCCAUAGCUUAUACUUUUUUAAAUAAAAAAUGAAAGAUCUGCUUUCAUGAAUUAUAACUUGAGUUCUUGUUGAAAUGUUAAUGUCUUUUCUUUAGUUGCUUUCUAAUAGUAGAAAAUAGGACUUUAGAUGGACAUCAAAUUUGCUUAAAAUUUGGAGAUCAUGUCAAUAGGUUUAAAUAAUUUAUGUUUAAUUUAAAAGGCAAUCCUCUUUAUUAAACUACAUAUGAGUUUUAAAAUAAGUUGUGGCCUUUCUUGAUUCGUAGUUGUAAUACUAAAUAAGGCCGCAUUUUUUCUUGAAUUUGCCAUAAAACAUUUCAUCUUAGAAUGGAGUAAUUCAUAGUUAAAUUGGUUGUUAAUGAAAAUUUUUGGAUUUUUUGUUAAUGUAUCUGUCUUCGUCUAAAUUGAAUGGAAAGAAUCAUUUUUUUAGAAGUCAUUUAAGUAUUAUUUAAAAGGGGCAAAGUCUCUGUUAGAGUUGAAUCUUUUAAGAGACAUCAUGUUAAGAUGGUACCCACAUGCAUGCUUUAUGUAUUGGGAAUGAUUGAUACUUUAAUAAUUGCAAACUUAGUCUAAAAGCAUUCAACUAUAAUUCAUCCUUUGUUGCAAACCUGUGGAAACAAACUGAAAUCGGUGCUCUCAUUUAUUCAAUGAUUUAACAUGUGAAAUUCUUGUCAAAUAAUGAGUUAUCCGCUAAUCUUUAUCCUUUAUUUUUUUUCUUUGCAUGUAUACUUUGGAGCAAAUGGAGUCUUAAUUCGAGACCUUCGAGACCCUCGCAAUGGAGUCGCAUAGAGACUCAAUGCUACUACCACCACAUAGAGUUAUUGCAUACCAUAUUCCUUAGACGCACCGGAUAGCGAGAAAAACAAGCUAAACGCUUGGGGACGCCUAUGACGUCUUUCAUUUCUUGUCUUUGUCAUUCAUACUAUUUGACUUUUACUUGUGAUUUGAGUUAUCUCUAAUUUCUGGGAUUAUGUGUUAAAAUUCGUGUUAGCGUAGUGUGUUUAAUUAUGUAGAAUCUUACUUUUAUUAUCUAUUUGGUACUAUUUUAUUCAAGUAAAUUUAGCCUCGAAUAUAAGAACUUAGAAUCAGUUUUUAAAGUGACGCUUCAAAAUCUUUUCAUCAAAAUUAUUUUCUAUUGGCCUUGUGUUAAACUUUCGUAAACACGAGAUUUUUAAGUUCAACGAAAUGAUUUCUUAAGUAUGUAUAUGAAACUAUUUUCGUAAGUCCUAACCUUUUGAAGAACGAUUUCAAUUGUUGGGUUUGUCAAGUUACUAUGGGGUUUAAACAUUUUCCUAGAAGUUAAAUCAAAACAAUUUAUAUCUUGAGUUUGAAAUGCUUUAAAGUAAUUAUCUUUUUUUCAGAAAUAUCCAUAGUUUUGUAAUGACUCACUUAUUCAACACAACACUAGUAUACAUGUAUUCUCUAAUUGACAAUCGUUUUUCUUGACAAACGUUUAACACUUAGUCUUAAAAUUAAUUUUGGCCGGUUAACCAUAUUUAAUGGGUCAUAUAGAGUGCUUAAUACCUUCUCUAUAAGAUCAAUUAGAACUCUUACCCGUAGUCUUAAAGGUUAAGUAGAUCAUAGAACAGAGUUUACUUUAAGCACUACUUAGCUACAAUUGGUGUCCUAAUUUACCAUUAAACCAAUUAGCUGGCGAUUCUCUUUAAUUAUUUAAACCUUCAGAAUUACCAAUAUGUUAUACUCUAGUUUGACCCGUGUUAAAAUGGGGUAUAACAUCAACCACAAUAGUUCAGUCGUUUGUUAAGAAAUAGCUUGGGUUGUUAGCAAUAGUCAAAAUCCUUCAACAUUCAGUACCCACUAGUUUGUUGGUAGUAAUAAUCAGAAUGUUCAGUCUUAAAAAGUUGUAUAAUUUAUAAGUUUAAUAAUUCUAUUCUUAAAAAGUUUAUGAACCAAUUUGGUGAAAAUCGGGAAGUUGUCUUUGGCUAGAUGUCUUUUUCAUAUUUGCAUGUUUGUUCUAUGAUGACUAUAAUUUAUUUAUAAAUAGAAAAAUAUUACAUAUCGAUUCAGCCCCAUGUAUGUCAUUGCAAUUAUUGUCGUAUAGUUAAAAAAAAGUUCACACCCUUUUAGGUUAUGCAUAAUUUGAUGAAUUUUUCAAGUUUAUUUACUCUGUCUCUUUCUUAUCAUGUUUGGUUUAAGUAAUCUUUAACUGAAACUUUAGAUGGAUGAUUUCAUAGCAAUUAUAUUGGGGUUUUUUAUUUAUAAUUGUGUAAUUUUAAUAUAUAAACUAACUUAUAUUCUAUUUAGCUUUAGAAUAGUUAAACUUACGUUCAGUGAACGAAAGAGUUAUAUCCAAAUUGGUAAAAAUGGAGUAUAGAAACAAAUUGGUAAAAAUGGAAUAUAGAAACAAAUUGGUUAAUAUAUUUAUGUUUGAUAGUUUUAAUUGUUAAAAUAAUAUCUUGGAGCUAUGGAAUUACCUACUAAUAUGAUAGUUAUUUUGUUUUGAACUACCUUUUUGAUUAAUACGUCCUUUUUACUAACAAAUUUUUAGCUCUUGCAGUAAUUAUAGAAAAGAAAGGAGUAUCUUGAAUGCCAUGAACAAUCCUAAAAAUAAAAGAUGGAUGUAUUGUGAUAGAGUUAGCGAAGAAUAUUUGGACGGAGUAGAGGAUUUUUUAAAUCAUGCCUUUUUUGAAAAACAAGGUGGAGAAAAAAUU